rnacentral:rRNA from 1 species
CAGAACGAACGCUGGCGGCGCGUUUAAGCAUGCAAGUCGAGCGGCAAGGGCCUUCGGGCCCCUAGAGCGGCGGACGGGUGAGUAACACGUGGACAAUCUGCCCCCCGGCCCGGGAUAGCCCAGGGAAACCUGGAUUAAUACCGGAUGAGACGGGACCCGCGAUGGCGGGAUCCGGGAAAGGCGCUGCGGCGCCGCCGGGGGAUGAGUCUGCGUCCCAUUAGCUAGACGGCGGGGUAACGGCCCACCGUGGCGACGAUGGGUAGCCGGCCUGAGAGGGUGGACGGCCACAUUGGAACUGAGACACGGUCCAGACUCCUACGGGAGGCAGCAGCUAAGAAUCUUCCGCAAUGGGCGAAAGCCUGACGGAGCGACGCCGCGUGAACGAAGAAGGCCGUGAGGUUGUAAAGUUCUUUUCGGGAGGGGGAACAACCGUGGCAGGGAAUGGCCGCGGGAUGACGUGAAUCCCGGAAUAAGCCCCGGCUAACUACGUGCCAGCAGCUGC